UACGAAGGGGGCUAGCGUUGCUCGGAAUUACUGGGCGUAAAGGGAGCGUAGGCGGACAUUUAAGUCAGGGGUGAAAUCCCAGAGCUCAACUCUGGAACUGCCUUUGAUACUGGGUGUCUUGAGUGUGAGAGAGGUAUGUGGAACUCCGAGUGUAGAGGUGAAAUUCGUAGAUAUUCGGAAGAACACCAGUGGCGAAGGCGACAUACUGGCUCAUUACUGACGCUGAGGCUCGAAAGCGUGGGGAGCAAAC
rnacentral:rRNA from 1 species